UGUGCCAGCAGCCGCGGUAAUACGUAGGGUGCAAGCGUUAAUCGGAAUUACUGGGCGUAAAGCGAGUGCAGGCGGUUUGUUAAGCUAGAUGUGAAAGCCCCGGGCUCAACCCGGGAAUUGCGUUUAGGACUGGCAAGCUAGAGUGUGUCAGAGGGGGGUAGAAUUCCACGUGUAGCAGUGAAAUGCGUAGAGAUGUGGAGGAAUACCGAUGGCGAAGGCAGCCCCCUGGGAUAACACUGACGCUCAUACUCGAAAGCGUGGGUAGCAAACAGGAUUAGAUACCCUGGUAGUCCACGCCCUAAACGAUGACAAUUAGCUGUUGGGGAAUUAACAGUCCUUGGUAGCGUAGCUAACGCGUGAAAUUGUCCGCCUGGGGAGUACGGUCGCAAGAUUAAAACUCAAAGGAAUUGACGGGGACCCGCACAAGCGGUGGAUGAUGUGGAUUAAUUCGAUGCAACGCGAAGAACCUUACCUAGCCUUGACAUGUACGGAAGUCCGAUGAAAGUUGGAUGUGCCUUCGGGAACCGUAACACAGGUGCUGCAUGGCUGUCGUCAGCUCGUGUCGUGAGAUGUUGGGUUAAGUCCCGCAACGAGCGCAACCCUUGUCAUUAGUUGCUACCAUUUAGUUGAGCACUCUAAUGAGACUGCCGGUGACAAACCGGAGGAAGGUGGGGAUGACGUCAAGUCCUCAUGGCCCUUAUGGCUAGGGGCUUCACACGUCAUACAAUGGUCGGUACAGAGGGUAGCCAAACCGCGAGGUGGAGCCAAUCUCUUAAAGCCGAUCGUAGUCCGGAUCGCACUCUGCAACUCGAGUGCGUGAAGUCGGAAUCGCUAGUAAUCGCGGAUCAGAAUGCCGCGGUGAAUACGUUCCCGGGUCUUGUACACACCGCCCGUCACACCAUGGGAGUGGGGGAUACCAGAAGUGGGUAGGAUAACCGUAAGGAAUCCGCUUACCACGGUAUGCUUCAUGACUGGGGUGAAGUCGUAACAAGGUAACA
rnacentral:rRNA from 1 species